CCCAGAUGUUGCUGAACUACAACUCCCAUCAGCCUUAGCUAGAAUAGCCAAUGGCCAGGGAAGAUGGGAGUUGUGGUUCAGCAAUGUCUGGA